GGCAAGAAUGUUUUCUAAGACCCCGAACUCCAGAUUUGCGAUGUGGCAAAUCCUGAAGCGUACAUGGAUAUCUCUCACAGCUAAAGUAUCCCUCACCCCUAUCCAGCGCUUCUUACCCAUGGCGCGAGAGAAUCACCUGCGGGGAGGAAAACUUUCAAAAUCCCUUAAACCCAAGUUGUAACCGAUCAAUUAAAUCAGAAUCCUUGGAGUUGGAUCUGAAAAAAAUACGGUUUAAAGUUGUGCAGGUGAUUACAAUGUGUAGGCAAGCCACAAAACCAUGGGUUUAACCAGCAACUUUUGUUAGAAAUGAUUUCUCAAAUGAAUGUAAAAACGUUUGCUGCUGAAUUGUGACCUUUCAAUUUUACUUGCUUUUCCUACAAUGUAUAUUUUGCAGACCCAGGCUUGCUUCUCGUCCUGUUCCUGAUUCACCCAGUGCCCUGUGUAUUCAGUGCAUCCUGUGCACGGGUCACUGUGCUGUGUGCCCUGGCCUGGGUGAGCAUCAUUCUUCGG
rnacentral:lncRNA from 1 species